rnacentral:rRNA from 1 species
GAUGAACGCUGGCGGCGUGCUUAACACAUGCAAGUCGAACGAGAAGUGAAGACGGAAACCUUCGGGCGGAAGGCUUUAUUUCGAGUGGCGGACGGGUGAGUAACGCGUGGGUAACCUGCCUCAUACAGGGGGAUAACAGUUGGAAACGACUGUUAAUACCGCAUACGACCACAGCACCGCAUGGUGCGGGGGUAAAAACUCCGGUGGUAUGAGAUGGACCCGCGUUCGAUUAGCCAGUUGGCGGGGUAACGGCCCACCAAAGCGACGAUCGAUAGCCGAGCUGAGAGGAUGACCGGCCACAUUGGGACUGAGACACGGCCCAAACUCCUACGGGAGGGAGCAGUAGGGAAUAUUGCACAAUGGGGGAAACCCUGAUGCAGCGACGCCGCGUGAGUGAAGAAGUAUUUCGGUAUGUAAAGCGCUAUCAGCAGGGAAGAAAAUGACGGUACCUGAGUAAGAAGCCCCGGCUAACUACGUG